GAACUUUCAUACCAUGGAUUNUGUGCCUUCGGGAGCAUUGAGACACGGUGCUGCNNUAGGCGUGUCGUCAGACUCGCUGUCGUGAGAUGUUGGGUUAAGUCCCGUAACGAGCGCGNAACCCUUUNUCCCUUAGUUACCAGCACGUAAUGGUGGGCACUCUAAGGAGACUGCCGGUGACAAACCGGAGGAAGGUGGGGAUGACGUCAAGUCAUCAUGGCCCUUACGGCCUGGGCUACACACGUGCUACAAUGGUCGGUACAGAGGGUUGCCAAACCGCGAGGUGGAGCUAAUCCCACAAAACCGAUCGUAGUCCGGAUCGCAGUCUGCAACUCGACUGCGUGAAGUCGGAAUCGCUAGUAAUCGCGAAUCAAAUGUCGCGGUAAUACGUUCCCCGGGUCUUGUACAC
rnacentral:rRNA from 1 species